GCGGUCUUCAGGGCUGAGCGCUUUCGGCCGAACUCUGUCUGAGGCGGAAGGACGCUUGCACCCCGCUUCCCUGCCUGCCUUCCCCGCUCCAGCACCGUCCUAGUCCCGCUGGGUGCAGAACUAGGACUAAGUGCUAGACUGAGCCCGCGGGUCAGUGUCUUGUGGCUGCCUGUACCCUGAGCCUGAGCCAGAUCCUGGAGCGACCGCGGCCAGAUCCGCGCGCGAGAACCUGCAGUGGUCCUGGUCCUUUUAGGUCUCUGGCAAGUGACACAGCGGGCCUCGGUGCUCUCAGGUUCGCUGGUGCUUCGGGAAGUGGGCUCGGAAGAGUCUUGGAGCCCAAGAGUCUUGGGAAGGGAGGGACAACGGUCUGAGUCUUAAAGGAGGGGAGGCCAGGGGUCUGGGGUCCCAGGAGAGCGUAGGGUUGGAUUCUAGGUUCUCAGGGGAGGGAAGGAUCAGGGUCAGGGAUUAGGCCCUGGGCCUCAGAAGAGAGGAGAGCCUGAAGGAGCCAGUUUACCCUCCUCCCCAAGGGUCUCUGGAAGUAAUCCUGUCUGUUCCAUUCCAUGGAGGCCCUCUGGGCCCUCUGUGUGGCCUGGGCUGCAAGCCUGGCCACUACCAGCCCUCCGAAUAUUGUGCUGAUCUUUGCUGAUGACCUGGGCUAUGGGGACCUGGGCGCCUAUGGGCACCCUAGUUCUACCACCCCCAACCUGGACCGGCUGGCUGCAGGGGGGCUGCGGUUCACAAACUUCUACGUGCCUGUGUCUCUGUGCACACCCUCCCGGGCUGCCCUCCUGACUGGCCGGCUUCCCGUGCGGACGGGCAUGUACCCUGGAGUUCUGGGUCCCACAUCCCAGGGAGGGCUGCCCCUGGAGGAGGUGACCCUGGCUGAGGUCCUAGCUGCCCGUGGCUACCUUACAGGGAUGGCUGGCAAGUGGCACCUUGGGGUGGGGCCAAGGGGGGCCUUUUUGCCCCCCCAUCAGGGCUUCCAUCGAUUCCUGGGCAUCCCGUACUCCCAUGACCAGGGCCCCUGCCAGAACCUGACCUGCUUCCCAGCGGCCACCCGCUGUGAUGGUGUCUGUGACCAGGGGCUGGUUCCCAUCCCACUGCUGGCCAAUCUGUCUGUGGAGGUUCAGCCCCCCUGGCUGCCUGGACUAGAGGCCCGCUAUGUGGCUUUCGCCCGAGACCUCAUGGCUGAUGCCCAGCACCAAGGUCGUCCAUUCUUUCUGUACUACGCCUCCCACCACACCCACUACCCUCAGUUCAGUGGGCAGAGCUUCGUGGGGAGCUCGGGCCGAGGGCCAUUUGGGGAUUCCCUGAUGGAGCUGGAUGCAGCCGUGGGGGCCUUGAUGAUGGCUGUAGGUGACCUGGGGCUGCUGGGAGAAACGCUGGUCAUCUUCACUGCUGACAACGGGCCUGAGACCAUGCGCAUGUCACGUGGUGGCUGCUCUGGCCUCCUGCGAUGUGGGAAGGGGACGACCUUCGAGGGUGGUGUCCGAGAGCCUGCUGUGGCCUUCUGGCCAGGCCACAUCACUCCAGGUGUGACCCAUGAGCUGGCCAGCUCCCUGGACCUGCUUCCCACUCUGGCAGCCCUGAGCAGUGCCCCCCUGCCCAAUGUCACCCUAGAUGGUGUGGACCUCAGCCCUGUGCUGCUGGGCUCAGGCAAGAGCCCUCGGGAGUCUCUCUUCUUCUACCCGGCCUUCCCAGACGAGGUCCGUGGGGUCUUCGCUGUGCGGAGUGGGAAGUAUAAGGCUCACUUCUUCACUCAGGGCUCUACGCACAGCGAUACUACCCCAGACCCUGCCUGCCAUGCCAGCAGCCCUUUGACCGCUCAUGAGCCCCCACUGCUCUAUGACUUAUCUGAGGACCCUGGUGAGAACUACAACCUUCUGGAGGUUGAGGCUGACGUUACCCCAGAGGCACUGGGAGCGAUGAAGCACCUUCAACUGCUGAAGGCCCGGUUUGAUGCAGCCAUGACCUUCGGCCCCAGCCAGGUGUCCCGGGGUGAUGACCCUGGCCUGCAGAUCUGCUGCAAGCCCAGCUGCACCCCCCACCCAGCCUGCUGCUACUGCCCAGACCCGAAGCCCUGAGGGCACUGGCCAAGACCACAGGAGAAUUCCCCCAAAUCUCCUGGCCCUGGGCACUGUGAAGGGAGGGGUCCAGGCAUGUGGAGGUAGUUUGUGUUGAUAAUGAAAUUAUACCAGCUGAGACUUGGAGGUGUGAGCAUUCAUCUAAUCCUUGCUACGACUGUGAGGUCAGUGCUGCACCCCUGUGUUACCAGUGAAGAAACUAAGGCACUGGGCAGUUCAGUGACUUGUCAGAGGUCGUUCAGCCAGAAGGAGGUUGUGCUGGGAUUUGAGCCCAGGGGUCCUGCCUCCCAGCUGCCCCUCCCUGGUGAUCCGUGCAUGUCAGUGUGUACACAUGUCUGCCUGGAGUCUGGACACAUCCACACAGCCACAGUAAGUGCAGGACUGAGGGUGGGGCAGGGCUGGACAGCAUAGUGGCCAGAGAGGAGUGAAAAUACAGAGCUCCUGGGACAGGCAGAUUUUCCUGGAAGAAACAUUCUCUGAGGAACUGGCCACCUAGGUUCCUGUCAGGAGCACGUCUGGAUCAGUGGUGGAUAGAGGCACUUUCACCUCCAACAGCAGAAGGCAUUUCCACCUCCCAGUCUGAGCCAGUCACAAGCCCAUGAUUGGUCCUGGUAGUGAAAGGUUGGGGCAGUCCUCCCUGUGAGGGCCUGGCUGUGGCUGAGUCAAUGGCCCUGGAUGGACACUGUACAGCUGCUAACCCACAGAGUCUCCAGAUGCCUGCUGCAGAGCAGAGUGUAAGGAAAUAAACCCUGCCUGUCUAA